rnacentral:misc_RNA from 1 species
GAUGAAGAACGUAGCGAAAUGCGAUAAGUAAUGUGAAUUGCAGAAUUCAGUGAAUCAUAGAAUCUUUGAACGCACCUUGCACCCUUUGGCAUUCCGAAGGGUAUGCUCGUUUGAGUGUCAUUGUACUCUCACUCUCCCGAUGCUUUUGGAUCGGGAGUGGUGGACUUGGGUGUUGCUGCUUUGCUGUGGCUCGCCUCAAAUGGAGUAGUGCAACUCUUGGUUGGACAUAGUACGGCGUGAUAAGUGUCUUCGCCGGCGCCUCAUUAUAGGGGGUGGCCGAUCGGGAGCUCUGUGCUUCAAACCGUCUUCGGACAACAUCUGACAACUUGACCUCAAAUCGAGUAGGACUACCCGCUGAACUUAAGCAUAUCAAUAAGCGGAGGA